UACGAGUGCCCCCGAGCGUUAUCCGGAAUUAUUGGGCGUAAAGGGUGUGUAGGCGGUUUUGUUAGUCUCAUGUUAAAGCUCCCGGCUUAACCGGGAAAGUGCAUGAGAUACGGACAAACUAGAGGAUGCGAGAGGUAUGCGGAACUCAUAGUGUAGGGGUAAAAUCCGUUGAUAUUAUGGGGAACACCAAAAGCGAAGGCAGCAUACUGGCGCACUCCUGACGCUGAGACACGAAAGCGUGGGUAGCGAAUGGG
rnacentral:rRNA from 1 species